UACGUAGGUGGCAAGCGUUAUCCGGAAUUAUUGGGCGUAAAGCGCGCGCAGGCGGUUUCUUAAGUCUGAUGUGAAAGCCCACGGCUCAACCGUGGAGGGUCAUUGGAAACUGGGGAACUUGAGUGCAGAAGAGAAAAGCGGAAUUCCACGUGUAGCGGUGAAAUGCGUAGAGAUGUGGAGGAACACCAGUGGCGAAGGCGGCCGGCUGGGGGUGACCUGACGCUGAGGCGCGAAAGCGUGGGGAGCGAACCGG
rnacentral:rRNA from 1 species